GGGAAAGGUGAAAAGAACCCCGGGAGGGGAGGGAAAUAGAACCUGAAACCCUGCACUUACAAGCUGUGGAAGCACAUUUCUUGUGUGACCGCGUACUUUUUGUAGAACGGGCCAACGAGUUACGUUAAGUAGCAAGGUUAAGCACUUAAGGUGCGGAGCCGUAGCGAAAGCGAGUUUUAACUGGGCGUUCAGUUACUUGACGUAGACCCGAAACCGGGCGACCUACCCAUG
rnacentral:rRNA from 1 species